AUACGGAGGGUGCGAGCGUUAAUCGGAAUUACUGGGCGUAAAGCGCGCGUAGGCGGCUAGGUCAGUCGGAUGUGAAAGCCCUGGGCUCAACCUGGGAACUGCAUUCGAUACUGCCUAGCUAGAGUAUGGUAGAGGGAAGCGGAAUUCCGGGUGUAGCGGUGAAAUGCGUAGAUAUCCGGAGGAACACCAGUGGCGAAGGCGGCUUCCUGGACCAAUACUGACGCUGAGGUGCGAAAGCGUGGGGAGCAAACAGGAUUAGAAACCCCAGUAGUCC
rnacentral:rRNA from 1 species